rnacentral:lncRNA from 1 species
UCAGCUCAAAAAGCAGAACUAAUCACACUAAUUCAAGCCUUAAGGCUGGCAGAAGGAAGGGCUCUUAAUGUCUAUACCGACAGCCAUAUGCUUUUGCCAUGGCUCAUGUUCAGGGAGCAAUAUACCGACACCAUGGACUGCUGACGUCUGCCGGCAAAGAUAUCAAAAAUAAAGAAGAAAUUCUCAGCUUAUUAGAAGCUGUCCAUCUGCCCCGUAGGGUGGCAAUUAUCCAUUGCCCAGGACACCAGAAGGGAACUGGGCCCGUUGAAAAGGGAAAUCAAAUGGCAGACCAAGAAGCCAAUAAAGCAGCCCAAGGGCCAAUGACUCUGGUGGUGGGAACCCAACAGCCCGCCGCUGAGGAAAUCAAUAAAAGAACUGCCGUGCUUGUGCACUUACCAACACUGGGUCUAGCAGGCUCCAGAAAGGAAAACAACUGCGGGGAGUCAGACCUGGAGCCUACUGGGAAACCGACUUCACUGAGGUGAAACCGGCUAGGUAUGGAAAUAAAUAUCUCCUAGUUUUUAUAGACACCUUCUCAGGAUGGGUCGAAGCGUUCCCCACCAAGAAAGAAACGGCUAAUGUAGUGGUCAAGAAGAUACUUGAAGAAAUCCUUCCCCGCUUUGGGAUACCUAAGGUAAUGGGGUCAGACAACGGACCUGCCUUUGUCUCCCAGGUGCCGCACUAGUUUGAAGUAGGAGAUGCAGUCCUGGUGAGGAGACACCGAGCAGGGAACCUAGAGCAGAGGUGGAAGGGACCCUACUUGGUGCUACUGACAAUGCCCACCGCGGUCAAAGUGGAAGGAAUCCCCACUUGGGUCCACGCAUCCCAUGUCAAGAGAGCACCCCCUGGAGUCAGCCAUGAUGAGUGGACUUUGGAGAAGACUACUAACCCUUUUAAGUUGUGCCUGCUUCGUAGGAGCGAUCCCAAAGGACUUCAACCCCCACAGUCCUUCCUGUUCAACAAAUGUGGGGGGUACUCAAUGAGGGGGGUAGGGCUGUAUGGACAAUCGCCGAGGUACACCCUCUGUGGACUUGGUGGCCUGAUCUUUUCUCUGACAUCUGUAAGUUGGCUAUAGGAGCCCCUCCUGGAUGGGACUUGGAGGGGUACUCUGACAUUCAGAGGGCACCUUUAACACCCCCUCCAUACGUAGAAAAACAUUCGAGAGACCCAUGGGGUGGUUGCUCUAACCAAAGGGAUAGAAGCAUGCUUCGAACCCAUCCCUUCUAUGUCUGCCCCGGGCCCCACCGAAGUAAGUCCCUCAAUCCAACAAGGCUGACUUCUUUUGCAAGAGCUAGGGUUGCGAGACUUCAGGUACAGCCCGCUGGAAGCCCUCCUCGAGCUGGGACUAUAUUAGAGUAACAGCCAACUAUUCCCUAGCGUCUUAUAUAACUGGAGGAUUUGACCUAGACGAGUGUACUCACUGGUGCCAUCCGCUCUGUGUCACCUUCACUGAACCAGGGAAAAGAGCUCUGGGAUGGACAAAAGGGUAUACCUGAGGUCUUAGGAUUUACAAGGAAAGAUAUGAUGAGGAUGAUUGUUCACUAUCAGAUUAAAAAUAGAGACCCCCUACAAUCCUUUAGGCCCCCCCAACCAAGUCCACACCCCUCACCCAUACUAUUGCUCAGCCUACUCUGGUGAUUGCAGACCCCCUUAAUAUGGCCGCUAUCACCCAACCAACCUCCCACUCCUCAGGUACCUCUAACUAUUACCCCCGCAAUUCCUUCAAGACAGAGGAUGUUUAACCUAGUGAGAGGAGCCUUUUAUGCCCUUAACAGAACUGAUCCAAGCGCUACUGAGGACUGCUGGCUAUGCCUGUCCUCGGGUCCGCCUUAUUAUGAAGGAAUCGCCUUCAAUGGCGAUUUCAACAGAACCAGCAGCCAUACUUCCUGCUCUUGGGGAACAGGACAAAAACUGACCCUGACUGAAGUAUCUGCAAGGAGUCCAGGUCUCUGUAUAGGCACCCCACCUUCCACCCACAAACACCUAUGCGGAUAAAUUCAGUCCGUGUCCAGGAUGGAAGCUAAUUACUAUCUUGUACCUUCCCCGGUUGGCUGGUGGGCUUGCAAUACAGGACUUACUCCCUGUGUAUCAACUAAGGUUUUUAAUUCAUCUCGUGAUUUUUGUGUCAUGAUCCAGCUGUUACCCCGCUUAUAUUAUCACCCUGCAUCCAGUUUAGAAGAAAGCUAUGCUGGCCGGCGGUCAAAAAGAGAACCAAUUACUUUGACCCUGGCUGCAUUCAUGGGAAUAGGUAUGGCAGUAGGAGUGGGGACAGGAGUGUCAGCUUUGAUAGAAGGAAGACAGGGAAUUUAGUCUUUGAGGAAUGCUGUCAAUGAAAACCUAGUGGCAAUAGAGAAGUCCAUUGACGCUUUAGAAAAAUCUUUGACCUCCCUGUCUGAGGUAGUUUUGCAGAACAGGAGAGGUCUUGAUUUGUUGUUCCUAAAGGAAGGAGGACUGUGUGCUGCCCUUAAAGAAGAAUGCUGCUUCUAUGCAGAUCAUACAGGAGUAGUUAGAAACUCUAUGCAGAAACUGAGAGAAAGAUUAGAGCGAAGGAAACAGGAACAGGAUGCUCAGUAGAGCAUGCUCAGUAGAGAUGAGGCUUGCUGAGAUUUAACACGGACACACUAGGUAGGCAGACAGGGAAGAAAAAAGGGUGGAAAUUGUCCUCUGGAUGCUUUGGAGUCAUGAUUUGGAGUUUGCUUGUGUUUUGUGUGUAUGUGCACACAUAGCCACUGAUUUAACAAGGAGUAUUUGUAGGGCUGGGCACACGCCUUUAAUCCCAGAACUUAGGAGGCAGAGGCAGGCAGAUUUCUGAGUUCGAGGCCAGCCUGGUCUACAAAGUGAGUUCCAGGACAGUCAAGGCUAUACAGAGAAACCCUGGUCUCGAAAAAAAAAAACAAAAACAAAACAAACAAACAAAAAUCCAAGGUGUAUUUGUUUAAGGAGACAUCUUAAUUAGGAUUUUAUUACUGUGAACAGACACCAAGACCAAUGCAAGUUUUAUAAAGGACAUUUAAUUGGGUGUUGGGGUCGGCCUGUGGCUCUCAUGUCCAGGUUCCAGCCUGGGAGGCAACCGGAGCUGAAAGAGAAGGGGGAACCUAGACGGGUCAAGAAAUAAUGGAAACCAAGACAAGCUAGUCUGUUCAAGGCUCAAAGGUUCAAUGAGGAUCGUGCUUAUAAAGAAGAGGGGGAGGCCCAUCCCCCACCAUGCCAAGUUUCUUGAUGUUGAGAUGCUAAGUUGUCAGCACAGCCUUUUAGCAGAAAGUCACCAAAUUUACAGGUUGCAGUUAACUCCGGAAAAUCUUGGCGAACUGGUUAGGCCUCAUGGCAGGUGGCAGGCGGUGUCACAUCAAAGGAAACUAGUUGAGUCUGAGAAGCAGCACUGCAGGUGGCCCAGCCUCAGUGCUGUAAGGUCUGAACCAGCCUGCCAAGGCUGAAGGAGGUUACAUUUUCCCCCCUGUAAAUAAUAUUUUUAAAAAACUGGACUGAGGCAUAAAAUUUAUUUAUGCUCUAUAGUCCUGCCUGGGAGGGGUGGCUGGCGGCUGCGCCUGUCUUAGGAAAUCUUAGAUCUUCCCGAACCAUCCAAUUCCGUCUUGGAGGCUACAUGCAGCUAGUUUGUGUUAUAUUUCACACAAACAUGGCUCUGUGGUGUGUUAUCAACAGCCACGGCCUUUUGGCAUGUACCUCUGUCUUAGAUUGGUAUGGUUCUGAGAUCUGGGUGCCCGUCAUUGACUGUCCGGCCCUCAUUAGCUCACCUUAUUCCCAAUUCAGACCAAAGCCACAAUAUGUACUUAGAAUGCUUCUUGAUUAAUAACUGCCACCUGCGCUGUUGGAGGCGGGGCUGUACACCUGCUGCAGUCAGGCUGAAGGGCAUUGACUGACCUGCUUGAAAAACAAAGGUGGGGCAGUGAAAAGCAACAGUAUAAAAGCUUCUUUGGAGAAGUCCAGGUACUUUAUUCAGUUGCAAAUUAACAACAACCAACCUAGACCUUGAGCUCUCAGUGUGGAGGAGCUGGCCUUGAGAAUCACAGAAAGGCUGCAAUCUUUCUGGGAGAGGAGGCUGUGCUCCAAAUUAACUUUGUUAGGUAAAUAAGAAUAUUUAGCUAUAUUCAAUAUGAAUCUCUAGCACUGGAAUUAUUAUUAGACCAGUCUAAGAUUGAGUUAGAAUAACUAGUCACAUGAGGGAAAGAGAAGAAUCACUAUAACUCUUUUUAUAUGACUAAUUUUUCUAAGUCAGAUUAAUUAGGAAUUAAUUAGGAAUUAAUUAGCAAGGAUGGGUCAAAAACAUGUACCCAAUUAAGCUUUCUUGUCACUACAGUCAGGGCACUGAGUGAACUCAUCUGUCAGCUCGUCACAUGAAUUAGCCGUCAUGCUUCUGCAGCAUUCUGUGAAGAGAACCUAUGCUUUUCCCCCUACCAAUAAGGUAGCUGUCCAGGAUCAGGCCAUAUGUCAAUAAGUAGAUCCUUUUAAGAUACUAUAAGGCAUUUAUUAAGUUCUUUGACAUCCAAAUUUCAAAAUUCUAAAAGUAUGAUUUAAAUAAUGUGCAUGGGGAUAUAAUUCCCCCUGUCUUAGUCAGGGUUUCUAUUCCUGCACAAACAUCAUGACCAAGAAGCAAGUUGGGGAGGAAAGGGUUUAUUCAGUUUACAAUUCCAUACUGCUGUUUAUCACCAAGGAAGUCAGGACUAGAACUCAAACAGGUCAGGAAGCAGGAGCUGAUGCAGAGGCCAUGGAGGGAUGUUCCUUACUGGUUUGCUUCAUUUUCAAUUGAUUCAAUUGAAAAUGCCUUACAAUUGGAUCUCAUGGAGGCAUUUCCUCAACUGAAGCUCCUUUCUCUGUGAUAACUCCAGCUGUGUCAAGUUGACACAAAACUAGCCAGUACACCCGCUUCUGUGUUUUCUAAGAAGCUAGAGUUUUAAAGUUCCACAAUACCUUGUCCUUGAGAAUUAAUAAUUUCUUGACAAAACACCUCAAACACUUGACUGUUAUAGUCAGUAUUAAUGUAACUUGGGCAGUGACUAAUUGCACUUUCAAUUGUUUCUCUUGAAGAGCAGUUGUAACUAGAAAGCUUGAAAAGUUAUUAAUAGUCACGUGUGUAUAAUUUAUUUAUUUAUUAAAUCAGAAAUAAGAGCAUUUAUUUGCAGCAAUUUAUUAAGUAUAAGUCCUCAAGAAUUAACACUAUUAUGUGGAAACAAGUAGGAACUGAGGACACUAAGAACAAAAAAUUUUUUACAAUUUGACAUGCACAUUUUCCAAGAAUACCAAUAUAUUAUCUUAAACCAUAACUGUUUUGAAUAUACAAAGAACGAGAUUAUAUAUCCAAUCCGUCUUAUAUGUAGGACCUAUAGACUUCCUGAGAUAUAAAUCCAGCAUGGCAUUGCCUUAAGAUGUCUUGUCCAGGCAAUCCAGAACAAUUUAUUAAAUGUCCAAAAACAGCCUUCUUAAAAGGACAGCAUUUUUUCUUAUGAGUUGUAUAUGCAUAAGCAAUUGCAAAUUUGAGAAUUAAUAGCAUCCGAGGGAUGAACAAUCUUAAGCAAUUGUGAGCUCUGAGAUAUAAUAUUGCCUAUUAAUAUACAAAUUAAGGUUUGAUUGUUCAGCGUUUUAAAACACCAUCCACAGCACACAACUUAAUUAUCUGUGCUGAAACAGGAGGAAACUCAAAAGAAUAAACGUGUGAUCUAAUUCACAUCUACUUAUUUCCCAUAGAGGGGUUGUUUUUAAACACAGUAACUGGGAUGCAUGCAGCAUGAAUUUAUAGAAGACACAGAAGCAUGUAUAAAAACAAUUUUUAACUUAUCUAUUAUUUAAAAUGAUGGUAUGCGAUAGAUCAAUUAUUAAUAUUCUGUAAUAACCAAAUUAAUUGCUGUUUGGAAGAAGGAACAGACACUUAGUCAGGUUCUUAAGACACAAUUUUUGUUAUGGUUAUCUCAAACUAAAUGAAUUUAUCUUACAAUUCUUUGUUAGCACCACAGUAGCCUUAAUAGGUGUUAAAACUUUACUUUGAGGUGAAGAAGGAUGAUUUUACAACAAUAUUUUCUCUUGCCAAGGAAUUGCUGUGGGCACCUAAAUAAAAUAAGCAGGUAAUACUUAAUUACCAAUGAUUAAUUGAUAACAAUUGAUCACAGAAGUUUCUUUUGCCUUCUGUAAAGCCUCUUUGCUUCUCACCAGUCAUCUUGAAUCUCACUAGAUAGCACCUAACAGAGGUUUAAGUUGCUUUAAGGCCUCAAGGUGAGGUCUCAGCCAAUUAACAUCUCCUGGAAGCUUUUGAAAAUAAAAUUUUGAAGCAAAUCA